GCAUGCAGGUGAGAAGGGAAGAUACGUGUAAUCUGCACGUCUGCCACCAUUCCUUGUUACUCCUUUUUCGUAUCCCAUGAGCACAGCACUCCAGCGGACCUACCCAAAAUAUAUAGGAGUUCAGUGAAACUCAAACAGCACACUUCUGGUCAGCCUAUACAGUUUCUGUCCUGGUGAGGAGCAUGGUUACCAACAGGCAAGAUCUUCUGGCCUUGAAGUUUCACUUGAGUUAAAAGAGCUCAUCUCAGGACUUUCUGAAUUUUCAGCCCAUAUGACAUGGAAGAAGAGUUAGAAGGGGAAUCUGACUGCUUGGAUCAGGGACUGUCUGGCUGGUGGAACUUGAAUAGAUGUACAGUGCACCACUUUGAGGAUCAAGUCUGACCCUGCCUUUAAAUUUGGAUUCGAAGUACUUAGAUUUUCUGGAAUCCCAUUCUACAAUCUUCUGGUCGAAAGUAUAAAACCAG
rnacentral:antisense_RNA from 1 species